CCACCUCUCUCCUCUCUUAAAAUAAUACAAAAUAUUGAAUCCUGAAUAAAAAUUCAGCAUUAAGCCUUCAAAUAAUCUUUUCUCUCAUAAUUGUCUUCUAAGUCCAUAAACUAAUUAUAAAUGACAAACUAGUCUUGGAUAUAGUUUCUAGGUGCCACAUUUGGUUCAGACUGCUACUCUCUCUUGUGUCAUAUACCAUCCACAUUCCAUAGUCCCAUUAUGUCUUUAUCUACUUCAUUAAUACCUGAAAUCAUGUUAAUCACAUCGGUUAGCUCAAUUACAUAGUAGUAGAGUAAAAACAUAAGAACCUAGGCACUUUGUUCUCUAAACUUAGCUAAAAUAUGAAUAAGUUAUGGUGCUUAGGUGUAUAAAUACACCCAAUAUCAACAAAUUAUUGAAUUAAGGGCUAAAACCUCUGUUCUUAGAGGUCAGAUGGUUUCUUAUCUUAAGGUAAAAAAGAAGAUAUCUAAAGGGUGCAUGUACCAUUUUGUUCGAGUCAAGAACUCUAGUUCUUCGAUUCUAAGUCUUGAUUCAGUUUUAGUAGUAAGUGAAUUUCCAGAUGUGUUCCCUGAAGACCUCUUUGGAGUUCCUUCCAAAAGGGAAAUUGACUUUGGAAUAGAUCUCAUUCCAGAUACCCAACCUAUCUUUUUCCACCUUAAAAAAUAUCUCCAGCUGGGCAUAAAGAAUUGAAAGAGUGGUUAAGAGAUCUCUUAGAUUAGGGUUAUAUCCAAUCAAGUGUCUCUAUGGGGUGCACCAGUUCUAUUCAAGAGUAAGAAAGAUGGUUCUCUUAGAAUAUGUAUCGACUAUCGCCAUUUGAACAAAGUCACAAUCAAGAAUAAGUAGCCACUCCUCAAAAUUGAUUACUUCUUUAACCAACUUUAGGGUGCCAGUCAUAUCUCUAAGAUAGACCUCAGAUCCAGCUAUCAUCAGCUCAAAGUCAUAUAAUGUGACAUUCUAAAGACAACUUUCAAAACUCAGUACAGUCACUACAAAUUCUUAGUUAUGUCCUUGGACUAAUGAAUGCCCUUGUAUCUUUCAUGGAUUUGAUAAACAUAGUGUUCAAAUAGUACUUGAACAUUUUCAUCAAAGUCUUUAUUGAUGACAUCCUUGUCUAUUCCCAUAGUGAGAAUGAUCAUGAAGACCAUAUAAGAAUUGUGUUGCAGACCCUUAAAGCUCAUCAGUUGUUCGCCAAGUUUAGUAAUUGGGAAUUUUGGCUGAGGUCAGUAGCUUUUCUUGGCCAUAUUAUUUUUGGUGAUGGUAUGAGAGUUGACUCUUAAAAGACCAAAGUAGUGAGAAACUUACCCAAACCCAUCUCUCUAUUAGAUAUCAGGAGUUUCUUGGGUUUGGGUAGCUACUAUAGAUAGUUUUUUGAAGGGUUUUCUUCUAUUGCAUCCCCUAUAUAUUAAUUGACUCAGAAGAAAGUCAAAUUUUAGUGGUCAGAUUCUUACAAGAAGUCUUUUUAGGAGUUGAAGACUCAACUUACAUCAACUCUAGUCUUGACUUUUCCAGAUGGAACAGAUGGGUUUGUAGUUUAUUGUGAUGCUUCCAGAGUUGUUCUUAGUUGUGUUUUGAUAUAGAAAGGCAAGGUCAUAGUCUACACCUCUAGAUAGCUUAAACCCCAUAAGUAUAAUUAUCCUACCCAUGAUCUUGAGUUGGCAGCUGUUAUUUUCACCUUAAAAAUUUUGAGACAUUAUCUUCAUGGGGUUCAUGUUGAUGUGUUCACUAACUGUAAGAUUUUAUGGUACAUAUUCACAUAGAAAGAUAUGAAUCUUUAUCAGAGAAGGUAGCUUGAGUUGUUCAAGAAUUAUAAGAUAAGUGUGUUGUAUCAUCCAGGUAAGGCUAAUGUAGUAGAAGAUUCCCUUAGCAGGUUGUCUAUGGGUAGUGUUUCCCAUGUAGAGGAUGAUUAAAAGAAGUUAGUUCAUGAGGUUCAUCAGCUUACUAGAUUGGGUAUUCGAUUGGUUGAUUCAGUUGAAGGUAGUAUAUGGGUUCAGAAUAGUUCUAAAUCAUUAUUAGUUGCCGAAGUUACAGAAAAGCAAGAUAGGGAUCUUAGCUUGGUUAAGCUACAGGAGCUAGUUAGAGAUCAGAAAGUAGAGGUUUUCUCUCUAGGGAGAGAUAGUGUUCUUCGUUGUCAGAGUAGGUUAUGUGUUUCGUGUAUUAAUGGUUUGAGACACCGAAUACUAGUGAAAGCACAUGGUGCAAGAUACUUGAUCCAUCCAGGAGCCACUAAGAUGUACAGUAAUUUGCAAGAAAUUUAAUGGUGGAGAGGUAUAUGGCUAAGUGCCCAAAUUGUCAGCAGGUUAAGGUUGAUCACCAAAGGCCUAGUGGUAUAUUACAGGAGUUUAGCAUCCCCACUUAGAAGUGGGAAGUGGUAAACAUGGAUUUUUUUGAUAGGAUUGCCUCGUAUGUGUUGGCAACAUGAUUUUUUAUGGGUCAUUAUUGAUAAAAUAACCAAAUCAACUUAUUUCUUGAUAGUUUAUACUUCGUACUCAACUAGGAAUUUUUCCAGGCUUUAUAUUAAGGAGUUGGUUUAGUGAUACGCCCAAAUUACAACUCUCGUUAGAAAGUGCAAGCAGUCGCUGUCAAAUAUAGAACCCAACUGGGUUGGGUGUCGAAUCCCAUAGGGAAUACUAUGAUCACAAAGUAUUACGAUUAUUAUUAAACUAUUGAUCGAAGGUUCCAAGGUAAGGGGGUUUCAGUUUAGGUGCACAAUAAUAUAAUCAGUGUAACGAUGAGAUGAUAUGUGUAAUAAUAUUUGAUCACAGAGAAUGACAAGUUAGGGUUAUGUCCACCUUGUAGCUUCUACUUCUCUAUUAACUAUGAGUAAUACGGAUUUUAUACAUGCAUGCACUUAUAGAGAGACAUAUUCAAAUUCUAAAUCCAAGUGUUUUUCAACCAUCAAGGAUUUAUUCACCUUAGUUCUCUCAAAUCCAAAGUGUACAACCAUCAAUUCCACUCUUGUGGAAUAUAAAUAUGUUGACUAUGUGGGUUAAUUGAAUGGAGAAUCACCAAAGUCACUAAGUAAAAUGCAUUUUGAAAGGAAUGGGUCAGACUUGGGAAUGAUUAAAAUUAAAUGAACUCCCCUUAAUGAUUGACUAGAAUAACUAUUUUUUUAAGCUUAUUAAGAUAAAAUAUUAUUCGAUUCAGUCUUGCACAUUUAGUUAUGUGUCCUAAUUCUGGAUUUUUGACUCUUUUGACCUAAUUUUGUAUUAGAUUGUGCAAAACAAUUGGUACAAGCAAAUAAUUAUGACCAGAAAGUUCUUCUUAUCAGGUAUGUUCUACACUGACAUAAGCAUAGGCAAUCUAAGUUAAAACAGUUGAGCAUACAUGUUCAAUUCCUCACACUUCAUCCUCCACUUUUCCUCUAAAACUGACGAAUUAGUUGACCAAACUUUCUUUGAUUCUCAUCAAAUGGUUUUGGACAAAUGUGUUAAUCUUACACUAGAAAUUCCUUCUUCUCUCUUAAAUAAAAUAUCACUUUUUGUACCAUGGAUUUGCCAAACUUGAUCAUCAAUAAUAUGUAACAUAUGUUUCUAAAAGAUGAAAAGGGACAUGCUCUGCCUUUCAUUUUCUAAUUAGCUCAGAUUAUUUUAGGAUUUCUCAGUACUAGUUCAGGUUUGUCUUUUCAAACAACAAAGAAUGUUCUUGAACAGAUGAAUGAUGCUUCUCUAACUGUUUCAAUAAGUAGGUCUAACAUUCAUAUUCAAAAAAAUACUUUAGCUGAGAAUUUUCUGAAUUAGAAGCAACACAAGACAUACAUGAAGUGGAAUAAAAGGCCCUUCGGGCUAGGAUCAUUACUUUUACACUUGACUUUGAUUGAGAGAAGGAUGCAAAUAUUGCUCCUCACUAUUCGUAUCCUCAUCCACGUCCCAUUUUUAUACCAGAUUCUUUUGGGAUUAUCGCUCAGCUAUUUUGUUUUGUUCAGUGCUAGCUUAGGUCUAAUGUGGAAUAUUCUCUCACAGAUUAAUGAAAUGGUUACUUUAUUUAAUUGACUCAUGUUAUUGCUCUAUUUAAUACUUCACUAAGUUGGCUAGAGUUUUUGUCUGAUUGUUUGGGUGAUAUCCCAAGUGGCCAUGAAUAACAUAACUAAUCAUUUUCGGUAGUUUAUUUUUGCAUUGAAGUGGUUUAUUGAUGAUGCUUAAAAGGAGAAAGAUAAGGGUUGUGCACUGCUUAUAACCCAUUGACUAACAUGUUUCAUUCUAGUGUUUCAUACUUCAGUAUCUACAGAUAAAUGUUUCAAUGCACAAAGACAAAAAGUUUGUGAUCAUAAAAAAGGGAGAAUUUGUUGGAACCUUAAAGUUUUGAUGAAUGAAAAUAUGAAUGAAAAAAGUCGAUAGACGUGUUCAACUGAUUUGAAAAGUUCAAGAGUGCAAGUCCAUGGUAUAAAUUAUUGAGAAUCAAAAUUAGUUAAAAUGAUGCAACUAAAAAAUUCAACUUACUGAUCACAUAGGGAAUAGAACAAGUUGAAUUUUGUUCAACUACUUGAUGAUAAGGGAAAGCAAGUUGAAUUGAAAAAGGAGUCCUAAGUGAAGAAGGAGUUUUCAGUUCUAAGAAUAUCUUGAGGAGUACUAUGUGUAGAUGGAGAAAAAUUCUUAAAGUUAAUGAAGGAGUCUCACUUGAAGUAGAACUCUAUGCAAUGAGAGCUCGGAUUUAAGGGGGUGUUUGAAAUAAAGAAUGAAUCUUUGAAGAGUUGUGCUUAAAUAGAAGAUGUAUCAUUCAGAGUAAGUUAAGCACUUAUAAAGCAGAAAAGAGCAUUUGACAAAUUGACUUCACUAAGUGCUACCCAAUCACUAAAGAAACUUAUAGAAAAGCGUAGUCCUAGUAUAGAAUCUAGCGACGAGUUUUAGUGUUGAUUGUUAGGAGUUGUUCAUUGUGUUGAACCAUUGAUGUAAUAUUAUUUUGAGUGUGUUAUAAACUGAACUAGGGGCUAGUCUUAGAGUUGGAGAAAACUUAGAAAUUUGGGGAACACAUACCUUUGGUUUGUGUGUGUAGUUAGGAAUUAGAAUUUAUAAUUCUUGGUUGUUGAUUUAUAGGAUUAGAGUUUAUAAUCCCUGGUUGUUGAGUUAUUUGAAUUAGAGUUUAUAAUUCCUAGGUUACAAGAGUUUUGUAAUCAGUCUUGUUGAGGCUUGAAGUUAUUUAGUAAAGUUGGGGUUAAAUCCUAUAGAGGUGCAGGAUGUGAUUUUUUACAGCUUUUGGAGUCGGUUGUUUUCCAUGUGAAAAUCAUUGGGACGCCAUGUGCAACUUAUUGUAUAAAUUUGUUGUUGAUCAGUGAAACGAACCUUUAAGUUUUUGAUCAAAAAGUUAAAUUCCAUUCUCACAUUAGUCAAAGGUCAUUAUUAUUGAUGAACAUUAAGAAGGGAUUCAAAAUCAUAGAAAUUUUUCUAAACCUACAAAGACAAGAUUUACAAUUACUUUGUUGACAUAAUACAGAAGAUAUCAAGAACUUGCUUGAUUUUAUUAGUUCUCUUCUCAGUCAGGAAGACUAUUCUUUUUAUAAUUGUCUCUAGUCAUCAAUAUUUAAUUGAUGUUGGUUUUUGUUGGUUUUAAUACCUUUAAGGUAAAUAAGUAGCAAGGAAAUCCAAAAACUAGCAGUUACUAACAGCGAUGGAGUUAAAAGCAAAAGAGACGCAGUGAUCUAUUUUCUUUUCUAGUUAACACAACAUACUUUAUUGAUUAAUCAGCACCUAACAUAAAUAGUCCCUAUUAAAACUAAUAAUAAUUUAAAGUUAUCAAUAAUAAAAACAACCUACUUGCUACCAAAAAUAAUAGAAACAACUGCCGUGCAUUCUUAAAGCAACUUUUAACCGUUUUCAAUUAUAAAAUUACUUUCCUUAGUUUGCAAGGGUUUCACAAGCUAAAGAUCAAUUUACAAGUUGUUCAUUUUUUAAUAUAAUAAUAGUGUUUUUGCAACGAAAGUUGUGGAAAACAAGUUACAAGAAUUGUUGUGAUGAGUGGCCUUUGAAAGAAUAUUGUUCAGCACUCUAUGUUGGUAAUUGUCCCGACCCGACCCGAGGACCUGGCUGCGAAGAGCAUCCCGAACCACAAAGGCCUGAGAGACCCCUUAAUACUCCUUAUCCAUAGUGAUAUUGUCCACUCUGGGCCUAGACCCUCUCGGCUUUAAAAUGCGUCACUAGGGAGUAUGGCUUGCUUACUUAUAUACCCAAAAUCCCUCCUAUGUUUUUUUGAUGUGGGACUACUUGUCCUAAGGUGGGGUGUUACAUACAUCCCUUUAUAGACUCAGCAUCCUCGCAGAGGUUUGCCCUACAAAAUGGGACUUUCCUAGUCUCAGGACUGAAGUUUGCCCCGCCUAACUGAAAUUUUACUAAGCUUAGUUUGAACUCUGGUACACAUCGAUGGGGAUGACACAAGAGCAGUUAUGAUACCAAAAUUUUCAUGACACGAGCAAAGAACCUGGCUAUGAUGAGUAUCUCAAACCAAGAAGGCCCAAUAGACCCCUUAGUGUGUAAUCAUAAGAAUAACUCAUAUGGUGUAAAAGUGAGAAAGAUAAAAUAAAAACACGGUAGUCCCUUAAUCAAACUUAGAACUUCAUAACAUUGUAUCAAAGGGGACAACCCAAACAAACCUAGAAACAUGUACAAAGCCUCUACUAAAAUUGAAAACAAUAGUCUUUCUAAACCGAGACAAGGCCCUUGGUCGGAACAUAACACCACUAGAAACUAACACAAUGCAUAUGAUGCCUUCUGAAGUAAGGGAGACUCACUAAUCUCUAAAAGUCUAAGAUAAUCUAUUGGAUUGCAGGACCACGGGACUGAGCCUCAGAACC
rnacentral:lncRNA from 1 species